rfam:Gorilla gorilla gorilla genomic chromosome, chr11, whole genome shotgun sequence
GCCGGGCAUGGUGGCGCAUGCCUGUAGUCCCAGUUACUCAGGAGGCUGAGGCAGGAGAAUCACUUGAACCCAGGAGGUGGAGGUUGCAGUGGGCCGAGAUCGUGCCACUGCACUCCAGCCUGGGUGACAGAGCAAGACUCUGUCUCAA